UCGUCGCAAGUAAAGGGGUGCCAAGAAUUGGGAGGAGAAGCACAUUCAUGCAAUCAACGCAUGGAAUUUACGAGCAAACAAUAGGGAUUAUGGCGGCGCUGUGCACCAUGAUGGCUUGUUCAAUCAAUAUUUGGACUGGCUGAAACAAAACACACACCUGAAGCUCAAGGUUGCAAUGGACGCUGCCAACAUUGAAGACCUACCUUCGGAUCCGGAAGAUAUUUUCCUGGAGUACGAUAAAGUCACAAGAAGUGGGCCAACAACUUGGAAAGUUUGCUAAUGAGGCCGGACAAGCUUUGAGUGUUCCAAUAGGAUCUCCGGAGGAGGCUAGUGUGUUGAGGGAUUUCUUGCAAGUUCAUUUUUUGCCUUGUCACUUGUGUGUCUAUGUGAAGGUGGUUGUGUCUUGAGCAAAUGUUUUAUUUUUUUUGUGUGUGCAGAGGCUAAGACGAGGAUGUAGGAAAAUGGCCUUCAAGAUGAAUUGCUUGGCAACACCAACACCGGCACCGACACCUGCCAUUGACAAGGUUGGACCUUUAGCAUCGAGGCAUCGUGCGUCCUCAAGCAUGGCAAGGAGCACAAGUCGGACAACAUCUAGAGGAGGAAGACGUAGUCAUGGAGCGGCUCUCGUUAUUGGUUCCCCUCAAGGUGCCCCUAAACUAGAGAGCGCCGAUGAUUCUGAUGACACUGCGAACUUAGAGGACGAUGACCCAACGUAGGCCAAGAGGAGGUCGGCCCCUCUCAACUACAAGGCGCUCCGACCCCGACACAAGGUAGCGCACCACCUAAGGGGCAGGCACGGGGACGGGAUCGCACAUAUGUUGGUAGCAUCAAUGUCCUCCCCACCAACCCGAGCCGUCAUCAUGUAACAAAGAAGCCGUACACUCCACAUUGAUCACGUUCUAGUGGCUAAACUCAUCGUUUGGGCUUAUUUA